AUUGAACGCUAGCGGGAUGCUUUACACAUGCAAGUCGAACGGCAGCGCGGACUUCGGUCUGGCGGCGAGUGGCGAACGGGUGAGUAAUGUAUCGGAACGUGCCCAGUGGCGGGGGAUAACUACGCGAAAGCGUAGCUAAUACCGCAUACGCCCUACGGGGGAAAGCAGGGGAUCGUAAGACCUUGCACUAUUGGAGCGGCCGAUAUCGGAUUAGCUAGUUGGUGAGGUAACGGCUCACCAAGGCGACGAUCCGUAGCUGGUUUGAGAGGACGACCAGCCACACUGGGACUGAGACACGGCCCAGACUCCUACGGGAGGCAGCAGUGGGGAAUUUUGGACAAUGGGGGCAACCCUGAUCCAGCCAUCCCGCGUGUGCGAUGAAGGCCUUCGGGUUGUAAAGCACUUUUGGCAGGAAAGAAACGUCGCGGGCUAAUACCCCGUGGAACUGACGGUACCUGCAGAAUAAGCACCGGCUAACUACGUG
rnacentral:rRNA from 1 species